CUAAGGGGAAACUAGGGUUCCGGCUUCUUUUACGGGAAGUGUCUGGUCCAAGAGUUUCCGGUCUCGCAUGACGAGGCUCCACGGAGGGAUAAAAGCCCGGGAGAU
rfam:Nitrospira sp. SG-bin2 contig32456, whole genome shotgun sequence.